AACGUACGCUGGCGGCACGCCUAACACAUGCAAGUCGAACGAAGUAGCAAUACUUAGUGGCAGACGGGUGAGUAACAUGUGGGUAUCUGCCCUUUGGCCUGGAAUAACACGAGGAAACUUGUGCUAAUACCGGAUAAGUCUUUACGGAGAAAGCUUUAUGCACCAUUGGAUGAGCCCGCACUUGAUUAGUUUGUUGGUGGGGUAAUGGCCUACCAAGACUGUGAUCAAUAGCUGAUUUGAGAGGAUGAUCAGCCACAUUGGGACUGAGACACGGCCCAAACUCCUACGGGAGGCAGCAGUGGGGAAUCUUGCACAAUGGAGGAAACUCUGAUGCAGCGAUGCCGCGUGAGUGAAGAAGGCCCUUGGGUUGUAAAGCUCUUUCGUCGGGGAAGAAAAUGACUGUACCCGAAUAAGAAGGUCCGGCUAACUUCGCGCCAGCAGCCGCGGUAAUACGAAGGGACCUAGCGUAGUUCGGAAUUACUGGGCUUAAAGAGUUCGUAGGUGGUUGAAAAAGUUAGUGGUGAAAUCCCAGAGCUUAACUCUGGAACUGCCAUUAAAACUUUUCAGCUAGAGUAUGAUAGAGGAAAGCAGAAUUUCUAGUGUAGAGGUGAAAUUCGUAGAUAUUAGAAGGAAUACCAAUUGCGAAGGCAGCUUUCUGGAUCAUUACUGACACUGAGGAACGAAAGCAUGGGUAGCGAAGAGGAUUAGAUACCCUCGUAGUCCAUGCCGUAAACGAUGUGUGUUAGACGUUGGAAAUUUAUUUUCAGUGUCGCAGCGAAAGCGAUAAACACACCGCCUGGGGAGUACGACCGCAAGGUUAAAACUCAAAUGAAUUGACGGGGACCCGCACAAGUAGUGGAGCAUGUGGUUUAAUUCGAAGAUACGCGCAGAACCUUACCAACACUUGACAUGUUCGUCGCGACUCUAAGAGAUUAGAGUUUUCGGUUCGGCCGGACGAAACACAGGUGCUGCAUGGCUGUCGUCAGCUCGUGUCGUGAGAUGUUGGGUUAAGUCCCGCAACGAGCGCAACCCUCACUUUUAGUUGCCAUCAUUAAGUUGGGCACUCUGAAAGAACUGCCAGUGAUAAGCUGGAGGAGGGUGGGGAUGACGUCAAGUCCUCAUGGCCCUUACGUGUUGGGCUACACACGUGCUACAAUGGUAUCUACAACAGGAAGCAAGACUGCGAGGUCAAGCAAAUCCUUAAAAGAUACCUCAGUUCGGAUUGCACUCUGCAACUCGAGUGCAUGAAGCUGGAAUUACUAGUAAUCGUGGAUCAGCGUGCCACGGUGAAAUGCGUUCCCGGGUCU
rnacentral:rRNA from 1 species